rnacentral:rRNA from 1 species
AUGAACGCUGGCGGCGUGUCUAAGGCAUGCAAGUCGCGGGACGUGUACUUCGCAAGAAGUAUUACGACCGGCAGACGGGUGAGUAACACAUUGGUAACCUACCUCCAAGACGGGGAUAGCCUGGCGAAAGCUAGAUUAAUACCCGAUAGUAAUGCGGGGACAAAAGUCAUUCGCAUUUAAAGCUUCGGCGCUUGGAGAGGGGCCUAUGGCUUAUCAGCUAGUUGGUAGGGUAACGGCCUACCAAGGCUUCGACGAGUAGCAGGCGUGAGAGCGUGACCUGCCUCACUGGGACUGAGAUACUGCCCAGACACCUACGGGUGGCUGCAGUCGAGAAUAUUCCGCAAUGGGGGAAACCCUGACGGAGCGACGCCGCGUGCAGGAUGAAGGCCUUCGGGUUGUAAACUGCUUUUACGAGGGAAGAAUUCGUGACGGUACCUCGUGAAUAAGAGGUUGCUAACUCUGU